UGGUGGAAGACGGGAGACGCUGGCGCAAGUCAGGGCCGAAGGAGCAACCGCCCCGGUAAACUCUCAGGCAAAAAGACCGCCUUCCAUAA
rnacentral:ncRNA from 2 species